GAUGAACGCUGGCGGCGUGCCUAAUACAUGCAAGUCGAGCGAACAGACGAGGAGCUUGCUCCUCUGACGUUAGCGGCGGACGGGUGAGUAACACGUGGAUAACCUACCUAUAAGACUGGGAUAACUUCGGGAAACCGGAGCUAAUACCGGAUAAUAUAUUGAACCGCAUGGUUCAAUAGUGAAAGACGGUUUUGCUGUCACUUAUAGAUGGAUCCGCGCCGCAUUAGCUAGUUGGUAAGGUAACGGCUUACCAAGGCGACGAUGCGUAGCCGACCUGAGAGGGUGAUCGGCCACACUGGAACUGAGACACGGUCCAGACUCCUACGGGAGGCAGCAGUAGGGAAUAUUCCGCAAUGGGCGAAAGCCUGACGGAGCAACGCCGCGUGAGUGAUGAAGGUCUUCGGAUCGUAAAACUCUGUUAUUAGGGAAGAACAAAUGUGUAAGUAACUAUGCACGUCUUGACGGUACCUAAUCAGAAAGCCACGGCUAACUACGUG
rnacentral:rRNA from 1 species